UGUAAUUUCUCUAUUUCCAGGAAUUUCCCCUCUCACAUUUCUUUCAGGCCCGGUGAGCUCUGGAUUCUGCACCCUGGCACAUCAGCCACGGGGGAAGAUGUGGGUUGCAUCAGAGUCCUCCGGGUGCUCUCCCUGCUGGGUCCCAGAGACCUCUGCCUUAAAGUUUUCAUUGCCAUCCUUCCUCAGGUCUGGAGAUAUGAGGAAACACAUGACCCUGCUAUCUGGUCCUCAGAAAGAACCUUAGUAAGUAACGCAAAAUCCUCCAAGUCAUACUGACUCCGCCUAGGGACCCACUUCUAUCACCAACUGCACUGUGAGGCAAUGAUAGCAGACCGGAGAGCCCUCCUCUGUGACUCCAGGCAAGCUGUUUAGCUUUUUAAAGUAUUGAAAUCUAUUACCUUGUCAGCAAAAUGGACUUUAAAGCUUUGCUGUGAUAACCAACACAAUGUACCUAGUGUGAAAUAGACACAGUAACUGGCAUUUGGUGCUGCAUUGUUACCAUGUGACCUUUGUUCGGAGCAAUCUUUCUGAACUUGCUGCUUCUCUCCAAAGGCUGGAAGUAGUAAUAAUUACCUCUCAGGGUGGUUAUAAGGAUUAUAUUUAUGAAGAUUACAAGGUGUAUAUGCAAAAUGCCUGGCCUAGUGUCUGACAGACAGUAGGCACUUGAUCUUUGGGUGGGUUUUGUUUUUGUUUUUGGUUUGGGUUUUUGUUUUUCCUUCUUCCUCUGAGAACUACCUCCACCACAAUCCAGGUUAAGGGUCUGGCACUUCUAUCACAACCGUUCAGCUAAAAGCCAAACAAUCUGUUCCUGGAGUUGUCUUUUGAAACUGCCUGAAGGUCUUUAAAAUCCCCUACCUGAUGAGCUUUCUGCCUACACCCAUAAAAGGAAAAGCUGUCAGCUCACCGUGGAGACAUCGGGAAAGAAGCAGACAGUUGCAGGAUCCAGAAGUCAACACUAGAGGGAGCAAUAAGCUCGGGAAAGUGGUGAGGGCCACACCCAAAAAUCUCAGCACUCUCCUGGUUCCUGGGGCUCAGGUCCAAGAAAAGAAUAGAAGGAUUAACAGUUGCCCAAAAAGACCUUCGUGAAGACAAAAGAUGCGAGGGGGAUGCGAAAGCAGGGAUAAAACACCAUCCCUUCGGCUGCGGCCCAUGUCUGGUCUUUGAGAGUGGUAUACCAUGUGUAUGCCUGGUGCCUGGGAGGCCAGAAGAGGAUGUCAGGUUCUCUGGAACUGGAAUUGUAAGCUACCAUGUGGGUGCUGAAAAUGAAAUCUUGGUCCUCUUGUAAAGUAGUUAGUGUUCUUAACUGCUAAGCUAUCUCUCCAGGUCCCAUAAAUCAAAAAAUGUUAUUGCAUUUAUUCGUGUGUGUGUGUGUGUGUGUGUGUGUGUGUGUGUGUGUGUGUGUGUGUGUGUGUGUGCAUUGCCAUGAUUUGGGUGUAGAAGUUAAGAGACAAUCUGUGGACGUUCAUUCUUUUCUUCCACCAUGUGGGUUCUGGCCCCACGCUUGGCAGCAGGUGCCUUUGCC
rnacentral:lncRNA from 1 species